GACAGAGGUGCCAAGCGUUAGGCGGAAUCACUGGGCUUAAAGCGUGUGUAGGCGGAUCGUUAAGUCCCUUGUGAAAUCCCACGGCUCAACCGUGGAACUGCUGGGUAUACUGGCGAUCUUGAGCCACCUAGGGGCGAGCGGAACAAACGGUGGAGCGGUGAAAUGCGUAGAUAUCGUUUGGAACGCCAACGGUGAAAACAGCUCGCUGGGGGUGUGCUGACGCUGAGACACGAAAGCCAGGGGAGCGAACGGG
rnacentral:rRNA from 1 species